GCCGGGGUAGCCUAGUGGUACGGGCGGCAGCCUGCUAAGCUGUUUGGCUUUAAAGCCUUCGCGAGUUCGAUUCUCGCCUCCGGCG
rnacentral:tRNA from 1 species